rnacentral:rRNA from 1 species
UACGUAGGGUGCAAGCGUUGUCCGGAAUUAUUGGGCGUAAAGAGCUCGUAGGCGGUUUGUUGCGUCGGCUGUGAAAUCCCGAGGCUCAACCUCGGGUCUGCAGUCGAUACGAGCAAACUAGAGUGUUGCAGGGGAGACUGGAAUUCCUGGUGUAGCGGUGAAAUGCGCAGAUAUCAGGAGGAACACCGGUGGCGAAGGCAGCUUCCUGGCCGGUAACUGACGCUGAGGUGCGAAAGCGUGGGGAGCGAACGGG